ensembl:lncRNA
GUUCAGCAGACAGGUGCUCUGCUUUGGAGUGUGACGAUGUCGUCGGUGAUGUGGAGAGUGACGUUUCCGUUUCACCCACACCGUGCUUUAGGGCAGCCGGGUCGGACUUGAUGUUUGAAAUACUGAUCGACAGCUCAGAUUUAACCAGUGAAAGUAGCAGUUCCUCCUUAAGGUCAGAGAUUGCAGCAUCUGAGGGCCUCUUCAAAAGAAGAUGUAGUUGAUGAAGGCGUUCUGGAGCAGGACCAGAAAGACCACGACCAAGCAGCCUUGAGAUCUUAGGCAGCAUCUCCCUCAGGUCCCUCUCUAUCUCCCCACACAUCCACCAACCACUGGAACACAACUCCAAAGUUCUGCCGGGCCAGCUCAGCUUCCCCUCAGAAGAAGUGCCGCCACCUGCCAGAUGAAGGAACCUUUUGAGAGGCAGCUGGCAUCGUGAUUGGACUGUACUUUGGUCUGUUCCAAUCCAGCUUCAGCUCCAGAGACGGCAGGUGGGACGAGUCAACGGAGGCCGGGUGGACGAAGGCAUGCAGCUGAGUACAAUCCAGAAAACAACAGAGGAGGAGUGCAGCGGCCCAGGGCCACAACAAACAGAGUAGCAUCAUAUGUCUCUUAGAAAACAUCAUAGUAUAGCCUUUGGUAUGAAAAAACACCAUCAUAUACAUCGUAUAUUGUACAAAUAACAAGUCAAAGGAAAGAGACAUACAUUGUAGAAUUGUAGUAAUUGUGGGCUGACUGAUUUACCGAUUAUCAGUAUUUUAUUUUUUACUGAUUUACUGUAAUAAAUACAUUUUAAAAUGGCG